rnacentral:rRNA from 1 species
GGGGAAUCUUCCGCAAUGGGCGAAAGCCUGACGGAGCAAUCUCGCGUGAGGGAUGACGGCCUAUGGGUUGUAAACCUCUUUUUUCAGGGAGGAACAAAAUGACGUGUACCUGAAGAAUAAGCAUCGGCUAACUCCGUGCCAGCAGCCGCGGUAAGACGGAGGAUGCAAGUGUUAUCCGGAAUCACUGGGCGUAAAGCGUCUGUAGGUGGUUUAAUAAGUCAACUGUUAAAUCUUGAAGCUCAACUUCAAAAUCGCAGUCGAAACUAUUAGACUAGAGUAUAGUAGGGGUAAAGGGAAUUUCCAGUGGAGCGGUGAAAUGCGUAGAUAUUGGAAAGAACACCGAUGGCGAAGGCACUUUACUGGGCUAUUACUGACACUCAGAGACGAAAGCUAGGGUAGCAAAUGGGAUUAGAUACCCCAGUAGUC